CAGAUUAAUAGUUUAAUAAAAUAUUGGCAUUGGAAGCCAAAGAUUAGGCUAUAGAUGCCUAUAAUUUGA
rnacentral:tRNA from 1 species